GACGAACGCUGGCGGCGUGCUUAACACAUGCAAGUCGAACGGAAAGGCCCUGCUUUUGUGGGGUGCUCGAGUGGCGAACGGGUGAGUAACACGUGAGUAACCUGCCCUUGACUUUGGGAUAACUUCAGGAAACUGGGGCUAAUACCGGAUAUGAGCUCCUGCUGCAUGGUGGGGGUUGGAAAGUUUCGGCGGUUGGGGAUGGACUCGCGGCUUAUCAGCUUGUUGGUGGGGUAGUGGCUUACCAAGGCUUUGACGGGUAGCCGGCCUGGGAGGGUGACCGGCCACAGAGGGACAGGGGUACGGCCCAGACGGAAACGGGAGGCAGGGGUGGAGAAUAUUGAAAAAUGGGCGGAAGCCGGAUGCAGGAACGCCGCGUGGGGGAGGACGGCCUUCGGGUUGUAAACCGCGUGCGCCUGUGACGAAGCGUGAGUGACGGGAAUGGGUAAAGAAGCAGCGGUUAACUACGU
rnacentral:rRNA from 1 species